rnacentral:rRNA from 1 species
GACGAACGCUGGCGGCGUGCCUAAUACAUGCAAGUAGAACGCACAGUUUAUACCGUAGCUUGCUACACCAUAGACUGUGAGUUGCGAACGGGUGAGUAACGCGCAGGUAACCUGCCUGGUAGCGGGGGAUAACUAUUGGAAACGAUAGCUAAUACCGCAUAAUAUUAAUUAUUGCAUGAUAAUUAAUUGAAAGGUGCAAUUGCACCACUACCAGAUGGACCUGCGUUGUAUUAGCUAGUAGGUGAGGUAACGGCUCACCUAGGCGACGAUACAUAGCCGACCUGAGAGGGUGAUCGGCCACACUGGGACUGAGACACGGCCCAGACUCCUACGGGAGGCAGCAGUAGGGAAUCUUCGGCAAUGGACGAAAGUCUGACCGAGCAACGCCGCGUGAGUGAAGAAGGGUUUCGGAUCGUAAAGCUCUGUUGUAAGAGAAGAACGGGUGUGAGAGUGGAAAGUUCACACUGUGACGGUAUCUUACCAGAAAGGGACGGCUAACUACGUG